rnacentral:rRNA from 1 species
GUACGGGGGGGGUAAGCGUUGUUCGGAAUUACUGGGCGUAAAGGGCUCGUAGGCGGCCAACUAAGUCACACGUGAAAUCCCCAGCUUAACCUGGGAACUGCGUGUGAUACUGGAUGGCUUGAAUUCGGGAGAGGGAUGCAGAAUUCCAGGUGUAGCGGUGAAAUGCGUAGAUAUCUGGAGGAAUACCGGUGGCGAAGGCGGCAUCCUGGACCGGUAUUGACGCUGAUGCGCGAAAGCCAGGGGAGCAACGGG